UUAGAGUUCAAAAAAUCCUCUUCUUAAUUUUUAAGACUGAGUCACUGAAUCAAAGAGAAGAGAAGAGAAUGGUGACAAAAUCUUAAAUUCUCCACUGCCGGUUCUGCCACCGUUGCAGUCGUCGGUUCUGCUAUCGUUUCUGCCACAGUUGUCGCAGGAAGCUUCUUAAUUGAGUCACCUCUUCUAUCAACCUUAUGGUUUUAGAUCUGUUUGCUUUGUAGUUACGGUUGUCGCUGCAGUUUCUGUCGUCGUUGUUGCCGCAAUUUUUGCAUCGUUUUUGCUGUAGUUGCUGCAGUCGAAAGCUUCUGAAUCGAGUCACUGUUUCAGAUCUGUUUUCUCUUUCGAGCUGCUGUUGGUAUGGAGAAUCUGGCCUUUGGGACAACCAAUUCAUCAGUUUAUGAAUGCAUUCACUGACCGUGAUUUUGAUUUUUUAAUUCUCAGAUGCAGGUCCAGGUGCUCAGAAGUGAGCUGUGGUUCAUCUAAGAGGUGGCGAAGAAUUUUAUAUUCUCUACUUUAUAUUUUGCUUAGAAUCUUUCCACCUUUAUUUGGAAAAACUUAUAUUAUGUAUUAGACUCUUUUAAACUUGCCUAUAGAGGCUCUUAUGUUUUUUUUGGGAGAGAUUAGGAUACUGUUGUCAACUACUUUCAUACUAUACCCUAGCCGGCUUAAACUUCGCGGGUCGCGACU